UAGGGAAUAUUAGUUAAUGUGCGAAAGCGCGAACUAGCAACGCCGCGUGUGCGAUGAAGGCCUUCGGGUUGUAAAGCACUUUUCUAAGGGAUGAGGAAGGACAGUACCUUAGGAAUAAGCCUCGGCUAACUACGUGCCAGCAGCCGCGGUAAAACGUAGGAGGCGAGCGUUAUCCGGAUUUACUGGGCGUAAAGCGCGUGCAGGCGGUUUGGUAAGUUGGAUGUGAAAGCUCCUGGCUUAACUGGGAGAGGUCGUUCAAUACUGUCAGACUUGAGGAUGGUAGAGGGAGAUGGAAUUCCGGGUGUAGUGGUGAAAUGCGUAGAUAUCCGGAGGAACACCAGUGGCGAAAGCGAUCUCCUGGACCAUUUCUGACGCUCAGACGCGAAAGCUAGGGUAGCAAACGG
rnacentral:rRNA from 1 species